GCCCCGGUAGCUCAGCCCGGCCAGAGCGGCCGCCUUGUAAGCGGUGUCCGCCGCCGGUUCGAAUCCGGCUCGGGGCUCCC
rnacentral:tRNA from 1 species